CAGCCGCCGCGGGAAUACAGAGGGUGCGAGCGUUAAUCGGAUUUACUGGGCGUAAAGCGUGCGUAGGCGGCUUCUUAAGUCGGAUGUGAAAUCCCUGAGCUUAACUUAGGAAUUGCAUUCGAUACUGGGAAGCUAGAGUAUGGGAGAGGAUGGUAGAAUUCCAGGUGUAGCGGUGAAAUGCGUAGAGAUCUGGAGGAAUACCGAUGGCGAAGGCAGCCAUCUGGCCUAAUACUGACGCUGAGGUACGAAAGCAUGGGGAGCAAACAGGAUUAGAUACCCCCGUAGUCCCUGUCUCUUAUAU
rnacentral:rRNA from 1 species